AACCCGGUGUUUUUCAACACCACCUCACUGAACAGGAUGUAUGGCG
rfam:Gonium pectorale scaffold00010, whole genome shotgun sequence.